AGGUACGCGAAGGACCAGUGCCGCCCCAGACGAGGUAGGAGAAACUCCUCAGCUGCUCGAGCUCCGCCACAACACUCAACGGAACUUCACCACGCAUACACACGCAGGAAAUCCACACGACCAGUGAUAGAAGAAUUGAAAAACACUUAUUGUCACCGGUUGUAACACGAAGGCUAAUCUUUAUACAAGAUGCGUGUGUUGUCGCUGCUGAUGGCCGUGAUGGCGGUGUUGCUGGCGGUGGUGGGCACAGCUGACGCCUUCAAACGCCCUCGACCAUGGUGGUUCGGAAAGGGUCGUCGAGGUAGGUUGGGGUCAAGGCCGAGGUCCCGGUCUGACUGCGUCAAUACCGGACUGAGUGUGUCGUGCUGAGGGCCUCGUCCCUCCUGCAGCUCAGUGAUCCUCGUAAACCCUGCGUGGCAGUCCCUGGUGUCAGGGCCGUUGAUGGUGACUCCUCAUGUCUUGACGUAGGUCUUCAGCCUUCGGCAGUCCAGCGUUCUCCCUGAGUGCUUGUGUGGUACACAAGCCGGGUCCAUUUGCACUGACUUGGCACCGCGGUGUUAGGGACCCAGGGGAAGGCGAGGGCCAUAUAUAUUACUGUUCUCUGCCUUACUCCAUCGUCUGCUGCCUCUCACACUACAGGCUAAAGUGGUGGAGAGUGGCCGGUGACCUGCUCCUGCUGGUCACCGUUGGAGACAACACUGUUUACCGGAUGUCCCAGGUACAGCAGUCAUCACAUAUUGGAAUUCGACAAUAAAUUCUUUAUCAUUAAA